AUUUCCUUUAAGCUUCUUGUGAUUUGGUGAUUCCGAAUGGCCUUUGCUUUUCUGGGGUCAGUCUCACUAGGGAACAGAGGAAGCUUUAAUUCCGGGACUAAUUAACCAGCUGGGUUCUGCGCUACUCUCCAACAUCCUGGAACUUCCUCUCUCUUGCUCCUUGUAUGAGUGUGUGUGUGUGUGUGUGUGUGUGUGUGUGUGUGUGUGUGUGUGUGUGUGUGUGUGUGUGUGCAAUUCCAUGUUUACAGCUAAGCCACGUGACCCUGGACAAACCCUCCAUCUGUGGGCCUGAGAGCCUCGCAAAUACCGCUACUGGCUGAGCGGUCAGGAGGAACUAGCACACUGGCUGGAAUAAGGGCGCGGCGCGGUGCUGCGAUGGCAGCUUCACUACUGUGCAGCAGGCGCCUGUCAGGCUGGCUACUUCUCAGCAGUACUCAGAGCUUGCAUCGCUACAGCUGCCUUAACAAUAACCCUCCCAGUUGGUAACAGAGAAGACUGCAGCCAGUGUCAGAAAGUUUAUGUUAGGGUGAUGUCACUUUCCAGCCUUCCCGGGAAGCUAGUGGCUUAUGCUAGUGAGCAGUAUUACCAUAUAUAGAAAGAAAACAGCCUGGUGGAAGGGGGAUGGGAGGGGUGGGGAGACUGAACGGGAAGAGAAGAAGCAGCGGAUAGAGAAGCCUGAGCCAGCUGCCAUCUGUAGGAGACUGGGCCCCAGGGUCAGGAGGAAGUCAGUUCUGGGCUGAAGGCAUUCUACUAACUGAUAGGGGCUAUGAUGAAGGCAGGCUAGAAAAGGGAACCUCACAAAUGUCAGCAUACCCAGAAAACCCAAUUGCCAGAAGGGUGGUAAACAGUUACUAAAUUUUGGGAGAACUGAUGCAAAAGGCUUUCCACACCUUAAAAAUGAAAGGUUGACAUUACUAUAUUUUAUAUUUUCUUUCCUUUUUUUUUUUUUUUAAUCUUUUCCAGGGUCAAGAAUGCAUCCAUGUCCUGGUAGGUGCUAGGCAAGUGCACUACCAUGCAGCUAUAUGCCCAGCCUGCUUGCCCCAACCCCAUAUAAAUAAUUAGAACACUCAGCUGGAGAGUUGCUGAAGUCUAUUGUAGCAAGAAGGCUAAGGUAGGAGGAUCAAACAUUGCAAGUUCCAGGUCAGUAUGGACUACAGAGUGAGACUAUCUAAAAUAAAAAUAAUAGGAAAAGCUUAUGAUCUUAAACAAAAUUCUCUAUGACUAACAUACAUUGCUAAAAAUUAAAAAGCAAACUCAGUUACAGGCCACACCUGAGGCAGCCUAGCUGACAGGGAGAAAUCUGAAUUUUGUUUGGUUUGGUUUUCGAGCCAGGGUCUGUUAUAGCUCAGGCAGGUCUCAACCUCACUGUCUUGAACUUCUGAACCUCUGACUACAUCUCCUAAGUGCCGUGAUCAUAUGCAGGUUCCAAGAGGUAGAGACUUGACUACGUAACAAAGGCUCUAAAGUGUUGCUGUUUAUUCCUACUGGUCAUUUUUGUUAACAUGGGCACACUAUACACCCUCACUUUCCAGGCAUAAAGUCUGCACCAUCCUCUCUGGGGUUGUAGCACUCUAUUCCGUGGUUAUAACGUAAAGCUUUUGAACUUCUUAUAAGAAAUAUAUUCUUAGCUUUUAAAUGUUUUCAUCACAUAAUACUAUUACCUGAUGACCAGUAUUUAAGUAUAUGUUGUCUAUUAUUACCAGAUGAUAAUAAAUAUAUAAGUGAUUAAUAGGGAGGAUUUAAAAUACUAACUAGAAUGAGUCUAUCACUUAUUCUUAGGUUCCAUGAAAAUGGGAGAAAGGGGGCUGAGGAUGUAGGUCUGGUGGUAGAGUUCUUGCCUAGUACACAUGAAGCCCAAAGUUUGAUCCCUAGCACCACAUAAAGCAGGCACAACAGCAUGUAUCUGUAAUCCCAGCACUCAGCGUUGGAGAAGCAAAGACAAGAGCUAAGACUCAUCAUCAGUCCCGUGGGGAGGAGCAUCCAGCCUGGGCACAGGAGACCCCAUCUCAGGAGAAGACAAGAAAAACAGAACCCUCCAUCAUCUGGCUUAGGCGUGUGAUAGAAGCAAUGACUACUAUGCCUUUCAUGCCCAUAUCUCCUAGGUUUCUGCCUGUUUCUAAGCAAUCUUGAGCAUGCUCAGUAAAGCACACAGACAUAAAGAGUGGUCAGGGCCUCCUUGGGCCCCACACUGAUUCCAACAUGACCUUUCUAAAAUGUAGGCCUCCCAGCUUGAUGCUAAGAGGAAUGGCAGGAAAAGAGCUGAUUUAGUAAGAAAGGUUGAUGCUCAAUAACAGGAUUAAGGCCUGAGUCCAUGAACUUCAAUCUGAUCUCUCCCCCCUCUACCUUCUACUAUGCAAGAAUAAGGUGCUCCUUCUGCUCUUAAGGGUACAGUUACAGGGUGCCACCUUGGAAGACCUCACUGGACAACUUAACUACCUGCUCUAG
rnacentral:lncRNA from 1 species